rnacentral:rRNA from 1 species
AACGAACGCUGGCGGCAGGCUUAACACAUGCAAGUCGAACGCCCCGCAAGGGGAGUGGCAGACGGGUGAGUAACACGUGGGGAUCUGCCCAAUGGUACGGAAUAAUUCCGGGAAACUGGGACUAAUACCGUAUGUGCCCGCAAGGGGAAAGAUUUAUCGCCAUUGGAUGAACCCGCGCCGGAUUAGCUAGUUGGUGAGGUAAAGGCUCACCAAGGCGACGAUCCGUAGCUGGUCUGAGAGGAUGAUCAGCCACACUGGGACUGAGACACGGCCCAGCCUCCUACGGGUGGCAGCAGUGGGGAAUAUUGGACAAUGGGCGCAAGCCUGAUCCAGCCAUGCCGCGUGAGUGAUGAAGGCCUUAGGGUUGUAAAGCUCUUUCGCCGACGAAGAUAAUGACGGUAGUCGGAGAAGAAGCCCCGGCUAACUUCGUGCCAGCCGCCGCCGUAACAC